rnacentral:rRNA from 1 species
GACGAACGCUGGCGGCGUGCUUAACACAUGCAAGUCGAACGCUGAAGACCUGGCUUUUGUUGGGUUGGAUGAGUGGCGAACGGGUGAGUAACACGUGAGUAACCUGCCCUCUUCUUUGGGAUAACGCCCGGAAACGGGUGCUAAUACUGGAUAUUCACUGAUCUUCGCAUGGGGGCUGGUGGAAAGGUUUGUUCUGGUGGGGGAUGGGCUCGCGGCCUAUCAGCUUGUUGGUGGGGUGAUGGCCUACCAAGGCUUUGACGGGUAGCCGGCCUGAGAGGGUGACCGGUCACAUUGGGACUGAGAUACGGCCCAGACUCCUACGGGAGGCAGCAGUGGGGAAUAUUGCACAAUGGGCGAAAGCCUGAUGCAGCGACGCCGCGUGAGGGAUGGAGGCCUUCGGGUUGGAAACCUCUUUCGCUCAUGGUCAAGCCGCAACUGUGGGUUGUGGUGAGGGUAGUGGGUAAAGAAGCGCCGGCUAACUACGUG